rnacentral:lncRNA from 10 species
AUCUCACUCUGUCACCCAGGCUGGAGUGCAGUAGUGUGAUCUCGGCUCACUGCAACAUCUGCCUCCUGGGUUCAAGCGAUUCUCCUGCCUCAGCCUCCCGAGUAACUGGGAUUACAGGAGCAUGCCACCAAGCCCAGCUAAUUUUUGUAUUUUUAGUAGAGACAGGGUUUCACCAUGUUGGCCAGGCUGGUCUCGAACUCCUGACCUCAGGUGAUCCACCUGCCUUGGCCUUCCAAAGUGCUGGGAUUACAGGCGAGGCCAUCACCGCCAUCCUCCCCCACCUCCUUUUCAAAAUCAGCAACGACCACCCCGACGAGGACACCGUCAACUCUCUCUACCCCGAUUUCCUUCUGUCAGCCUGCAGGAAGCAUCAUCAUUCUUCCAGAGGGACAGACCAGCAAGACAUCCCCAGGAGCAACCACUCUGGUAAUCUAGAAUUCAGUGGCAGAAAAUAAAUAAGAAGAUAACUUCCUUCAGAAAGCCAUGACAUUGAAAUAAUGUGGUCAUAACUCUUUC